rnacentral:tRNA from 1 species
GAUGCUGAAGGCGAUGGCGCAGGCUGCGGUCGGCUUCGUGCCGGCCUCGAUGGCCGCGCACGUUCCGGUCGUGCUCGGCAUCG